UUUAUUGCCUAUAGAACAACUACAAAAUUUGAUUGAUGGUUACUAAGGAGAAAAUUAAACAUUUAUUUUCACAUGCCAUCUUCAGGGGGCUGCUCAAAAAAAUAUAUUUGAAAGACCCACUGUUUUUCGACCAUAAAUUAACUAGUCAUUUACAAAUUGCAUGAAUAUAUUCAUACAAUGUUAGUUUUAUAUUUAUAUUUCAUUAAUAUUCAUAUAUUAUAUUAUCCUGAUUCUCCACAGGUACCGAAGUACGCCUCAGAAGCUCCGUAAGCUUGUACGAGUUCGGAGAAUAAGUUUUGUUCUGGCUUACUGUGUCCUUACGCCACCUUAGGCGCAGCACUGUUAAUUCGAACACAACAGUGAAUGGUGGCUCGUACCCGUAUGGACAAGAAAAUUCCUUCUCUAGCCCAGGAUCGAACUCAGUACCUUACGGUUGCGAAAUACUGAGUCGACGCUUCUGGCUUCUAACCACCAAGCUACGGACGCUGUGUUUAAUGAAACAACUCUGAGUAAAAAGCAUCAACGAAAAAUGUAUCCAUGUUGUCUAUAGGGCCUUUUUUUUUCCCGACUUUUUCUUCUUGAGUUUACGUUUGGAAUAUAACGUAAAAUAUAAGAGUGCUGUCGACAGAGAAUUCAAUUUACCUAAGACCCAAGAACAUCAAGGAUACUGAACGAGCGCUGCAGAUUUUUGGUUUAUGUUCAAUUUUUGUCUUCACGAGUUUGGACUCACAGGAUUGAGAAUUGGUGACGUAGUUUUAAUAAUAGUUUCAAUCCUGCUGUUCAUCAAACUGGUAUGUACAGAUAAUUUCGCUUUCGAUUGCUGGUACCAAUCAAGAAUACCUUGUGACAUAGGAACUUUUCUAGUGAAGUUGAUUUUGGAGUUUUGACAUUAAUAAGUGAAUAUCUGAAUAUCUGAACCUAUAGAGUAAAUACACAUAUAAAUGAUCAUUAUUGUUUAAAUACAAAAUUUGUCAACUGAUCUUGAUCAAGUGAGGUGCACCUUCAAUAUUUUUUUGUGAAAGCUUUAAUAUUAUUACGUUACUACUUAAUGUUAGGCUCAAGAUUUUGUUGGAAAUUUCGCUAGAAUUGUGCUCGAAUUCGACGUUACAUAUUAAAUUCUUUUCAUAUUC